GACGAGCGCUGGCGGCGUGCUUAACACAUGCAAGUCGAACGGUAAGGCCCUUCGGGGUACACGAGUGGCGAACGGGUGAGUAACACGUGGGUGAUCUGCCCUGCACUUCGGGAUAAGCCUGGGAAACUGGGUCUAAUACCGGAUAGGACUCCUGGCUUCAUGGUUGGGGGUGGAAAGCUUUUGCGGUGUGGGAUGGGCCCGCGGCCUAUCAGCUUGUGGGUGGGGUAAUGGCCUACCAAGGCGACGACGGGUAGCCGGCCUGAGAGGGUGACCGGUCACACUGGGACUGAGAUACGGCCCAGACUCCUACGGGAGGCAGCAGUGGGGAAUAUUGCACAAUGGGCGCAAGCCUGAUGCAGCGACGCCGCGUGAGGGAUGACGGCCUUCGGGUUGUAAACCUCUUUCAGCUAUGACGAAGCGCAAGUGACGGUAGUAGCAGAAGAAGGACCGGCCAACUACGUGCCAGCCGCCGCAGUAA
rnacentral:rRNA from 1 species